UACAGAGGGGGCAAGCGUUGUUCGGAAUUACUGGGCGUAAAGGGCGCGUAGGCGGCCUGCUAAGUCGAACGUGAAAUCCCUGGGCUCAACCCAGGAACUGCGUCCGAUACUGGUUGGCUUGAAUCCGGGAGAGGGAUGUGGAAUUCCAGGUGUAGCGGUGAAAUGCGUAGAUAUCUGGAGGAACACCGGUGGCGAAGGCGACAUCCUGGACCGGCAUUGACGCUGAGGCGCGAAAGCCAGGGGGAGCAAACGGG
rnacentral:rRNA from 1 species